rnacentral:rRNA from 1 species
GGGGGACAGCACUGUUUCGACAAUGGGGGUUCUACGACCUUACUGACUCGAUGCAAACUCAGAAUACGAUGCAGUUCGCUCACGGGAGACACACUGCGGGUGCUAAGGUCCGCAGUGGAAAGGGAAACAGCCCAGACCGCCAACUAAGGUCCCACAGUCAUAGCUAAGUGGGAAACGAAGUGGGAAGGCCCAGACAGCCAGGAGGUUGGCUUAGAAGCAGCCACCCUUUUAAGAAAUCGUAAUAGCUCACUGGUCGAGUCGGCCUGCAC